rnacentral:rRNA from 1 species
UACGAAGGGUGCAAACGUUGCUCGGAAUUAUUGGGCGUAAAGCGCACGUAGGCGGCAUUGCAAGUCGGAUGUGAAAUCCCUCGGCUUAACCAAGGAAGUGCAUCCGAAACUGCAGUGCUUGAGUACUUAAGAGGAUCGCGGAAUUCCCGGUGUAGAGGUGAAAUUCGUAGAUAUCGGGAGGAACACCAGUGGCGAAGGCGGCGAUCUGGGAAGAUACUGACGCUGAGGUGCGAAAGCGUGGGGAGCAAAAGGG